UUACGGCCGUAUCACGUUGAAACACCGGUUCUCGGACGAUCACUAAAGUUAAGCAACAUCCAAACUGAUCAGUACUUAGAUGGGGGAUCGCUUAGGAAUACCAGGUGGUGUAAG